rnacentral:rRNA from 1 species
GACGAACGCUGGCGGCGUGCUUAACACAUGCAAGUCGAACGGAAAGGCCCUGCUUGCCGGGUACUCGAGUGGCGAACGGGUGAGUAACACGUGGGUGAUCUGCCCUGCACUUCGGGAUAAGCCUGGGAAACGGGGUCUAAUACCGGAUAUGACCUUCCAUGUAGUGUGGGGGGUGGAAAGAUUUAUCGGUGUGGGAUGAGCCCGCGGCCUAUCAGCUUGUUGGUGGGGUAAUGGCCUACCAAGGCGUCGACGGGUAGCCGGCCUGAGAGGGUGGACGGCCACAUUGGGACUGAGAUACGGCCCAGACUCCUACGGGAGGCAGCAGUGGGGAAUAUUGCACAAUGGGCGGAAGCCUGAUGCAGCGACGCCGCGUGGGGGAUGACGGCCUUCGGGUUGUAAACCUCUUUCGACAGGGACGAAGCUUCGGUGACGGUACCUGUAGAAGAAGCACCGGCUAACUACGUG